rnacentral:rRNA from 1 species
GACGAACGCUGGCGGCGUGCUUAACACAUGCAAGUCGAACGGUAAGGCCCUUCGGGGUACACGAGUGGCGAACGGGUGAGUAACACGUGGGUGAUCUGCCCUGCACUUCGGGAUAAGCCUGGGAAACUGGGUCUAAUACCGGAUAGGACCACUGCCUGCAUGGGUGGUGGUGGAAAGCUUUUGCGGUGUGGGAUGGGCCCGCGGCCUAUCAGCUUGUUGGUGGGGUGAUGGCCUACCAAGGCGACGACGGGUAGCCGGCCUGAGAGGGUGACCGGCCACACUGGGACUGAGAUACGGCCCAGACUCCUACGGGAGGCAGCAGCGGGGAAUAUUGCACAAUGGGCGCGAGCCUGAUGCAGCGACGCCGCGUGAGGGAUGACGGCCUUCGGGUUGUAAACCUCUUUCAGCACCGACGAAGCGCAAGUGGCGGUAGGUGCAGAAGAAGGACCGGCCAACUACGUGCCAGCCGCCGCAGUAA